CCACAAUCUCUGUAGAAGAUUCAACCCCACAGUCCUAGAAAAUAAAGACUUUCCAAGGACCUUUCUCCUGUCAUCACUAUUUUACCCAUGAAAAACUGAGUUCAGAGAAAUUAAAUGGUUUGCCCAAGAUCACACAGCAAAUUAGUGGCAGUGAAACAGGCAAACCAGUCCUCUGCCUCCAAGUUCAAGGCACUUCCCAUUUUUCCACGGCUGGCAAGGGUUCCACAUAUUCAAAAUUCACACUGGAGAUGAAGUCAGCGUGUUGGAUCUUCCAUUUUGGUAUUGUGAUGUCUGCCGCCAUUUUAUUAGUAUGGGGCAACAUUCCAAAGGUGAUGCCCCUUUCCUGCCCGGGUACUGACCAGGAAAGCUGCUGCCUGGGGUGCAGCCUCGAUUUCUAAACCCUCUGGGUUUCAUUGGCCUGGGCAACUGAGUCAGAGAGAGCGCAGCACACUUUCCUAAUGAUUGGCCUUUCCUUUCACAAAAAUAGAACUUUCAUGAAGCAACAAAACUAAAGAUUUGCUUAUGUUAGCAUAGGUUCACAUUUAAAAGGCAAUAUUUGGAGCCAGAUUUUUUUUCAAAAUAGAGGUAAAAAUAGAGAUGAGUGAAUCUCUUAAAUUUAAGCCUUUCCUUCUUUUCUAUAAACUCCCUCCCACCCUCUCCCCCCAAAAAGCUUAACUGUUCUUUUCGGCUACAGUAUUAAGGUCAUAAAGUAUUCCUCUCCCGGACACUUAAAGUCUACUGCGGGAUUUUCCUCUAAGGAAAUAUGUCAUCUGUCACUGCUUUUUGGCUAAUCCCAAGAAAGACUGUUCUUUGCUUUUCAGUACGUGACUUUUCUACCUUAUAUAAAAAACGUUUUGUUGUUCUUAUUAAAUGUGGAACCCAAACUCCUAGCCUAUAGCAAAAAUUAACUUUUAAAAUAUAUUGAAAUAAAGCAUUAUGUGGCUUUUACAGACGUGUGAUUUAUUCACAGGUAUUCAGACCAUCUAAAAUAAAUAAACUCCCAUGAAUAUUUUUCAAAUACCUCUGUUCCAAUAUCUUGCCACCUUUCUUAGGUGAGGGAUUUCUAAAACAUUGUUUAUUCACCCUUCCAGAACAAUGGUCUCAGGACCAAAUUGGCGAGAACUACCUAUAGCCCAAAGAAUUACCCUAAAAUUAAUAGUGUAGUAGGUGGCUCCUCAGGAUGAAGACAGCAAGAGCACUGAUAAAAGAUCAGUCAAUAAUUCAGCAUCUAUUUACUGUGUGCUGUGUUUGGUCCAGGCUGUUUGAUUGUAGGACCAGAUAGUUUAAAUAAAGAUGGAAAUUAUUGUAAGGAUACCAAGAUCUCAUGAGAAUCGGAGCUGGAAACUGGAAGGCCACCAGGAAACAAGUGCAGCAGCAUAGACAAGACUUUCAAAUCCAAGUUUUGCCACUUCCUAAUUAAUCUGGACAAGUUAAAUAACUCUCUGUGUUAAUUUUCUAAGCUGUAGAACAGGAACGAUAACUACGCCAAAGUGUUAUAGUGAAGAUUAAAUGAGAUGAUGUUUGCCAAGAGUUUGCACCGAAAAGUACUGAAAAACCUAGCUUCCUUUUGCUCUUGUAUAUGCUAGGCUGUACACUAAGUAUAGAAGUAUCCUUUCUAACAAUGGUUUUCAUGACAUUGUUUACAUUGCUGAAAAACCAAGAAUUCCCUACAACUCAAAGUGAGGAUAUUAAACUAAUGGACACUCUCCCAGCAUCUCUCUUUUCCACACCAAAUAACAAUAUUAGUAAUUAACAUUUACACAGUGCUUGACAGCACAGAGACUGUUUUUCACUAAUAUUGACUCCUUCUGUUCUCAUAAUGCCCUGGUAAGAUUGAUAUGCUUAUUAGUCUCCUUUUACAGUGAGGUUAAAUAAACUGAUCAAGGUCACAUGGCUAGUAAUCGACAGAUGUGGGAUUCAAACCCAGUCCCUUUGACUCUAAAUCUGUUAUGCUUUUCAAUGCUUUUCACCAGAAGAUAAUUAAGUGCUGCAUCAGCUAUUUCAGGAACUGAUUGCCUAUUUUAUUAUCUGGUUCCCCACCACCUUCCCACCACUGCACGAGACAGAGUCCAAACACGAUACCAUGGCUGUAAAGAGCUCUUUUCAGUUUGGUUCCAGACUCCCUUUCCAGCCUCGUGUAGCCCAGGGCCCAAACACUCAUAAUCUCCCAAGCCCCGGUGGGUUUUCUCACCUUUUCCUGUCCUGAAAGUGGCCAGGGACAUUCUAUGAAACUUUGAAGGUCCAGUUCGAUUGUUGC
ensembl:lncRNA